UGGGGAAUAUUGCACAAUGGGCGCAAGCCUGAUGCAGCCAUGCCGCGUGUAUGAAGAAGGCCUUCGGGUUGUAAAGUACUUUCAGCGGGGAGGAAGGGAGUAAAGUUAAUACCUUUGCUCAUUGACGUUACCCGCAGAAGAAGCACCGGCUAACUCCGUGCCAGCAGCCGCGGUAAUACGGAGGGUGCACGCGUUAAUCGGAAUUACUGGGCGUAAAGCGCACGCAGGCGGUUUGUUAAGUCAGAUGUGAAAUCCCCGGGCUCAACCUGGGAACUGCAUCUGAUACUGGCAAGCUUGAGUCUCGUAGAGGGGGGUAGAAUUCCAGGUGUAGCGGUGAAAUGCGUAGAGAUCUGGAGGAAUACCGGUGGCGAAGGCGGCCCCCUGGACGAAGACUGACGCUCAGGUGCGAAAGCGUGGGGAGCAAACA
rnacentral:rRNA from 1 species